rnacentral:rRNA from 1 species
CUUUCCUCCCGUAGGUGAACCUGCGGAAGGAUCAUUAAAUAAUUUGAGUAUGCUUAUGCAUAUUUCUAAUUUACUGUGAACUGUUUUACUGUUUAGCGUUUUGAGGGAUUGCCUAAAGAUUAUAGGGAUAGGUCUUCAGGAUGUUAACCUAGCUAAAGUCAGGCUUAGGCCUGGUAUCCUAAUUCAUUAUUUACCAAAAGAAUUCAGAAUUAAUAUUGUAACAUAAGCGUAAAAAACUUAUAAAACAACUUUUAACAACGGAUCUCUUGGUUCUCGCAUCGAUGAAGAACGUAGCAAAGUGCGAUAACUAGUGUGAAUUGCAUAUUCAGUGAAUCAUCGAGUCUUUGAACGCAUCUUGCGCUCAAUGGUAUUCCAUUGAGCACGCCUGUUUCAGUAUCAACAACAACCCACAUCCACAAUUUUGUUGUGAAUGGAAGUGAGAGUAUCGAUGUAAAAAUUGAACUCUUUAAAACUAUUAGGCCUGAACUAUUGUUCUAUUAGCCUGAACAUUUUUUUAAUAUAAAGGAAUGCUCUAGUUAAAACACUAUCUUGGGGGCCUCCCAAAUAAAUCAUUUUUUUAAACUUGAUCUGAAAUCAGGUGGGAUUACCCGCUGAACUUAAGCAUAUCAAUAAGCGGAGGGAAAGGAAGGUC